rnacentral:rRNA from 1 species
GAUGAACGCUGACAGAAUGCUUAACACAUGCAAGUCUUUGGCGAAGCUGUGCUUGCACCGCCUAGCCAAGGCGGACGGGUGAGUAACGCGUAAGGAACUUGCCCUGCAGUCAGGGAUAACAGACGGAAACGACUGAUAAGACCUGGUAAAGUCAGGCGGACUCAUGUCCAGCCUGAUGAAAAGAGAUGCUGCAGGAGAGCCUUGCGUCCUAUUAGCUUGUUGGUGGGGUAACGGCCCACCAAGGCGAUGAUAGGUAGCCGGCCUGAGAGGGUGGACGGCCAAAAGGGGAAUGAGAUGCGGCACUUACGCCUCCGGGAGGCAGCAGUGGGGAAUAUUGGACCAUGGGGGCAACACUGAUCUAGCAAUUCUGUGUGCACGAUGAAGGUUUUCGGAGUGUAAAGUGCUUUCAGCAGGGAAGAAAAAAAUGACGGUACCUGCAGAAGAAGCGACGGCUAAAUACGUG